GUCUUUUGCUACUAAUAAAUCACCUGCAUUUUCAGCCGGUUUGAAGAACUUUGAACUUGAACGUAUUUAUUGCCAUCAGAUACACGGAAGGAUUGGAACACGACCCAACAAAAAGAUAUCGUUAUGUCAGAUCAUGGAAAUCCAAGCAAUAUGCAGCCCUAAAUAGUCAACUUGCACCGGUAGAUUUGUUCUGUAGUAAAAUAAAAAAAACUGUCUUGAUGAAUUAUAAGGAAAGUGUUUAUAUUAUUGCAAAAAAAAAAAAAAAAAAAAAAAAGAAAUCAAAAAUCACAUGCAAAAGUUAA
rnacentral:lncRNA from 1 species